GAUGAACGCUGGCGGCGUGCCUAAUACAUGCAAGUCGAGCGAACAGACGAGGAACUUGCUCCUCUGACGUUAGCGGCGGACGGGUGAGUAACACGUGGAUAACCUACCUAUAAGACUGGGAUAACUUCGGGAAACCGGAGCUAAUACCGGAUAAUAUAUUGAACCGCAUGGUUCAAUAGUGAAAGACGGUUUUGCUGUCACUUAUAGAUGGAUCCGCGCCGCAUUAGCUAGUUGGUAAGGUAACGGCUUACCGAGGCAACGAUGCGUAGCCGACCUGAGAGGGUGAUAGGCCACACGGGAACUGAGACACGGUCCAGACUCCUACGGGAGGCAGCAGUAGGGAAUCUUCCGCAAUGGGCGAAAGCCUGACGGAGCAACGCCGCGUGAGUGAUGAAGGUCUUCGGAUCGUAAAACUCUGUUAUUAGGGAAGAACAAAUGUGUAAGUAACUAUGCACGUCUUGACGGUACCUAAUCAGAAAGCCACGGCUAACUACGUG
rnacentral:rRNA from 1 species